ACUUAGUUUCGCACACUUUGGGAACCGUGGAGAACUUGGCACUUCCUCAGCACUCCCCAGUACCUAAUUGUCUGGGUGACUGUGGGACUUCACGGAGCCUGAUAAAAGAGGAUCAGGAGCCAAAAUAAUCUUCCCCAAACACAGGCAGAGAUCUGAUCUGUGCUCCCCCACUUAAAAAACCUUCAGUGAUGAAUGCUGUGUAAUCUUAAUGGAUAAGUUUGGCCUCCAAAGAAGAGAUGGAAAAACGUACCUCCUUCCCUCCUUCCCAGAGGUGGAAGACUGCAGGUUCCACUCAGCUUGGUCUUCAUGGAGAGAAAUAUGAGCCUUCUAUUGUCAUAAGGGUCCAAGGGAAGAGACUGCUGGACAUCCUGCUUCCAGGACUAUAGCGUAUUCUGGAUGCCACCUGAAAGAGGCUGACUUGUGGAU